AUGGAGGGACGCCCCCGCGGCGGCGGCCGGACCGCCAUGGACUACUCGCUGGCGGCGCUGAAGCUGUUCGCCUCGCAGCUGGCGGGAUCCACGACCGCCCCCUCCUCGGAGGGCUCCUCCCCGGCGCAGAUGCUCUUCGGCAUCCGCUUCCAGCGCGCCUGGAUCCAGGGCGUGGUGGUGCGCGCGGACUACAGCGUCGGCGACGGGAGGCUGUUCGUGGAUGACGGCUCCUGCGUCACCGAGCUCAUGCUCCGGCCCGAGGAUGCCAAGGGCCAGCCCUGGCGCCCAGGGAUGUAUGUGCUGAUUAUUGGGGCAUAUAUUGCUCCCCAGUCUACUGAAAGUCUGCCAAUGGUCAAGGUGCACAAGAUAGUGGAUCUCUCUGGGCACCCGGACCGUGAAGCGAUGUGGUACAUGGAAGUGGCCGAGGCAUACAACUUCUUCUACAAGGCUGACGCCUCCGGUGCCGGCUCACCGCCAUGA
rnacentral:rRNA from 1 species